rnacentral:rRNA from 1 species
UUGCCUCAGUAACGGCGAGUGAAGCGGCAAAAGCUCAAAUUUGAAAUCUGGCCCUUUCAGGGUCCGAGUUGUAAUUUGCAGAGGAUGCUUCGGGAGCGGCGGCGGUUUAAGUCCCCUGGAACGGGGCGUCGUAGAGGGUGACAAUCCCGUCUUGAAUCGCAUGUCCGUGACCGUGUGAAGCUCCUUCGACGAGUCGAGUUGUUUGGGAAUGCAGCUCAAAAAUGGGUGGUAAAUUUCAUCUAAAGCUAAAUACUGGCUGGAGACCGAUAGCGCACAAGUAGAGUGAUCGAAAGGUUAAAAGCACCUUGAAAAGGGAGUUAAAUAGCACGUGAAAUUGUUGAAAGGGAAGCGCUUGCAACCAGACUCGGCCGCAGAGGCUCAGUGGGCACGUGUGCCCAUGCACUCCUCUGUGGUCGGGCCAGCAUCAGUUCUGACGGCCGGUCAAAGGCCCCUGGAAUGUAUCCUCCUCCGGGAGGUCUUAUAGCCAGGGGUGCAAUGCGGCCAGUCGGGACUGAGGAACGCGCUUCGGCACGGAUGCUGGCGUAAUGGUUGUAAGCGACCCGUCUUGAAACACGGACCAAGGAGUCUAACAUCCACGCGAGUGUUAGGGUGUCAAACCCUUGCGCGCA